AACCGAUAUCCGGAUUGAACACCCCUAAGUUUGAAUCAAGUUGAGUCUGUUUAUUUUGCUACCAAAACAAAUUUGAACCAAGUAGUAAACAAUAAAUCUAUCAAAUUUUCAAAACAAAUUAUUAAUUUAUUUUUUAAAUAUCUAAAAUAAAAAAACGUCAAUAUAUAAAUAAAUAUAUAUAUAUAUAUGUAUACAUAUAUAUAAUUAAAAUCAUAUAUUAAGGAUCUUUGAUAUAUCAUGCAUAUUAUAAUAUUUUUUACAAAUGAUAAAGAAUAAAUUCUAACAUCAUAUUCACAUAUCAUUCAAAUAAUAAAAAACCACAAUAAUUCUAUUAAAUAAUAUACCCAAAAUGCACUCAUACAACUUAUGGCCAAACUUACAAUCAAAUGUACAUUAUGUCUAGCC
rnacentral:lncRNA from 1 species